AUCCCAUGGACAGAGGAGCCUGGUGGGCCACAGUCCGUGGGGUCCCAAGAAGUCCGACACGACUGAGCGGUUACUGCUUAAUACUAGGAAGAAAUUGGGCGAGAAGCGAAGUGUUAGAACGGAAGGGAUUUAUUGAGAGUAGGACACUUGGAAGGUUCCCAAGCGUUGUGUUGCCCUAAGUACUCAGUUACACUUACACCAUCAGAGGAGGAGGG
rnacentral:sRNA from 1 species